GACGAACGCUGGCGGCGUGCUUAACACAUGCAAGUCGAACGGAAAGGCCCUGCUUUUGUGGGGUGCUCGAGUGGCGAACGGGUGAGUAACACGUGAGUAACCUGCCCUUGACUUUGGGAUAACUUCAGGAAACUGGGGCUAAUACCGGAUAGGAGCUCCUGCUGCAUGGUGGGGGUUGGAAAGUUUCGGCGGUAGGGGAUGGACUCGCGGCUUAUCAGCUUGUUGGUGGGGUAGUGGCUUACCAAGGCUUUGCCGGGUAGCCGGCCUGGGAGGGUGGCCGGCCACAUUGGGACUGAGAUACGGCGCAGACUCCUACGGGAGGCAGCAGUGGGGAAUAUUGCACAGUGGGCGGAAGCCUGAUGCAGCAACGCCGCGUGCGGGAUGACGGCCUUCGGGUUGUAAACCGCUUUCGCCUGUGACGAAGCGUGAGUGACGGUAAUGGGUAAAGAAGCACCGGCUAACUACGUG
rnacentral:rRNA from 1 species